rnacentral:rRNA from 1 species
AUAUUAAAAUUGUUGCAGUUAAAAAGCUCGUAGUUGAAUUUCUGCUGCAUCGCCUGUUCUCCUUGAUGAGUAUUGCGUUGUGGCUUUUUUCGGACAUUGCUUCGGUUUUGUCCGGAUGAUUACUUUGAGAAAAUUAGAGUGCUCAAAGCAGGCUUUUGCCUUGAAUAGUUUAGCAUGGAAUAAUAAAGUAGGACUUUGGUUCUAUUUUGUUGGUUUUAGGUACCAAAGUAAUGGUUAAUAGGAACAGUUGGGGGCAUUCGUAUUUAACUGUCAGAGGUGAAAUUCUUAGAUUUGUUAAAGACGAACUACUGCGAAAGCAUUUGCCAAGGAUGUUUUCAUUAAUCAAGAACGAAAGUUAGGGGAUCGAAGACGAUCAGAUACCGUCGUAGUCCUAACCAUAAACUAUGCC